rnacentral:pre_miRNA from 1 species
GGUGCCUAGUGUUUGAGAAGGAAAAGGAAUCAUCUUAGUAGUCCACUUUCCCAAAACUAGGCACCGA